GAGAGGGAAAUUCUAAUUUUAGAAAAAAAUCCCAAGCUCUCUCACGUUUAUUUUCUUCUCUCUCUCUCGUCAAUUUCUCCAAUUUCAAUUUUGGAUUCUUUUGCUUCAGUAUCCUUUUAUUCCAUUAUUUUCUUUGUUCAUUUAUUUUUUCUUCUUUUUCAUUCACCGUUACUAUACUCCAAAAUUCUAUUAUUUUGUGGUGUCAUAUUGGUGUCAACAUAAUUGUUAGUUGCUGUUCAUUAAGGGUUUCAUUUGUCCUCUUGAUUUUCGUUUGAUCAAGUGUCGAAUCAAGUAAGUAUCGGUAGAAUAGAGGCGUAUUAAUGGAUAUUUGGUGCUUGGAAGCGCAUUUUCAGGUUGGACGGAGUUGGUGUGUUUGGAUGGUUGGGUAAUUCGUUAAGUUAGGUUUUGGACUCAACAAAUCAAAUGUCUCGGAGUUUCACAUCUUGGUUUGGUUUAAUAUUUUUUUUCGUAAGAUUUAAUAAAUUAGUUUCAAUUGGAUUGUAAAUAUUUUAUAUGAACUAUGAUAUGAGUUUCCAGUUUUGAGUUAGAUUAGUAUUUUCAUGCAUGGACUUUAGUCAAUUGACUGUUUUCCCUUUUUUAAUAAUCGGUCAAAUAUUUAAGUCUUAAAUUUUUAUGAAA